AUGGUUGAUGACAUUUCCUGAAAUAAGCAUUUUCUUUCAAUAUGUACUUUCUCAAAUUCCUUUAAAAUAUUUGGGUUUGGAAAUGAUGAACUUUUAUUUUGGGCCAGGAAUGGCUUAUUUAAAUAUUUAGGUAUAUUGAUUUAAAUGUAUUUUUGUGUGUGGUAAAUAAAUUUCAACUUUGGGGUUGAAUUUUUAGCCAGAUUUAAGAGAAUUUUCUUCGGGUAUCAAAGAAAUUGGCAAGAGUCAAUUCGAAACUAGGAGCAAUAAAAGCAAUUUGGUUAAAAUGAGAAAUUUACUUAGAUAACAAAAAAUGGACCAAAAACAUUACUCCUGGAAAUCACAUUAUUUUGACCAGCGGAAGAAUGUAAAUUUGGAGAAAUUCACCUCAAACUGCAGCAUGUGGUUGGUGUGAUAUAUCACCUCCAGGCGCAGGGUGCUGGUGGGUGACAUGGAUUUCUGGGACUCUUCGAGGUCCUUCUGCGUGAAGGUGACAUUGGCCGUCACACCAGACGACGCGUACAUGACAUCAGCAAUGGAAAAACCGUUGUCGGGGCCGUUGUAGUAGCAGUAGGGAAUGCUAAAAUCAGAGGUGACUUCCUGCAGAUGGAAAUGGGAUGAGAUACUUAAAAGCAAGAAAUUUCGCUCCACCAACCUUAGGAGCUCUAGAGAAACCUUCAUCUUUACAAACUUACGUAUUUGACAUUCCCAUCUGGAACAUCUGGAAAAGGUCUGAUCCUGCAGAUGAGUGCACUCUUUGGAAAAACAAAUUCCUACUUUUAAGUGUCAAAUUUUGUGUGUUUUACUUUUAAUUUUUAAAAUUUUAACUUUUAUGUUUAAUUUUUAUUAUGUUUAAUUUUACGUUUAAUUUUUCCAAUUAAUAAUUGCUGAAAAAUGUCAAUAUUAUUUACCCUCCUACAAUAUCGACUAAAAUCCUAGAGCUGUCGCUCGCCUUAUAAAUGAAUGUAAAUGAAUGCAAAAAUGAAAGUGGUGUUGCAUGCAAUGUUUGAGGAGAUCAUUUUGUAUGUUAUUAUGUAUAUUAUUAAAACAAAAGUGCAUAUCAUUAAAAUAAAUUAUGUAUAAUAUUAAUAAUAUAAUUAACAUUAUUAUUCAGGUAAAUAUCAUAAUUUCACAUUUUAGUAAAAUACCUCACCUGUACUGUGGCAUUUGCCAUAGUACCGAGUCAUCUCCUUUUCAAUAUAUAAAAUACAGAAACAUGUCAGUCCAAUUUUACUAUUUCUUACCUUAUUUACAGGAACGUAGGUGAAAUUA